GCCUGGCUAGCUCAGUCGGUAGAGCAUCAGACUCUUAAUCUGAGGGCCGCGGGUUCGAGUCCCGCGUCGGGUA